UUGAACGCUGGCGGCAGGCCUAACACAUGCAAGUCGAGCGGUAGCACAGAGAGCUUGCUCUCGGGUGACGAGCGGCGGACGGGUGAGUAAUGUCUGGGAAACUGCCUGAUGGAGGGGGAUAACUACUGGAAACGGUAGCUAAUACCGCAUAACGUCGCAAGACCAAAGUGGGGGACCUUCGGGCCUCAUGCCAUCAGAUGUGCCCAGAUGGGAUUAGCUAGUAGGUGGGGUAACGGCUCACCUAGGCGACGAUCCCUAGCUGGUCUGAGAGGAUGACCAGCCACACUGGAACUGAGACACGGUCCAGACUCCUUCGGGAGGCAGCAGUGGGGAAUAUUGCACAAUGGGCGCAAGCCUGAUGCAGCCAUGCCGCGUGUGUGAAGAAGGCCUUCGGGUUGUAAAGCACUUUCAGCGGGGAGGAAGGCGGUGAGGUUAAUAACCUCAUCGAUUGACGUUACCCGCAGAAGAAGCACCGGCUAACUCCGUGCCAGCAGCCGCGGUAAUACGGAGGGUGCAAGCGUUAAUCGGAAUUACUGGGCGUAAAGCGCACGCAGGCGGUCUGUCAAGUCGGAUGUGAAAUCCCCGGGCUCAACCUGGGAACUGCAUUCGAAACUGGCAGGCUAGAGUCUUGUAGAGGGGGGUAGAAUUCCAGGUGUAGCGGUGAAAUGCGUAGAGAUCUGGAGGAAUACCGGUGGCGAAGGCGGCCCCCUGGACAAAGACUGACGCUCAGGUGCGAAAGCGUGGGGAGCAAACAGGAUUAGAUACCCUGGUAGUCCACGCCGUAAACGAUGUCGAUUUGGAGGUUGUGCCCUUGAGGCGUGGCUUCCGGAGCUAACGCGUUAAAUCGACCGCCUGGGGAGUACGGCCGCAAGGUUAAAACUCAAAUGAAUUGACGGGGGCCCGCACAAGCGGUGGAGCAUGUGGUUUAAUUCGAUGCAACGCGAAGAACCUUACCUGGUCUUGACAUCCACAGAACUUUCCAGAGAUGGAUUGGUGCCUUCGGGAACUGUGAGACAGGUGCUGCAUGGCUGUCGUCAGCUCGUGUUGUGAAAUGUUGGGUUAAGUCCCGCAACGAGCGCAACCCUUAUCCUUUGUUGCCAGCGGUUAGGCCGGGAACUCAAAGGAGACUGCCAGUGAUAAACUGGAGGAAGGUGGGGAUGACGUCAAGUCAUCAUGGCCCUUACGACCAGGGCUACACACGUGCUACAAUGGCAUAUACAAAGAGAAGCGACCUCGCGAGAGCAAGCGGACCUCAUAAAGUAUGUCGUAGUCCGGAUUGGAGUCUGCAACUCGACUCCAUGAAGUCGGAAUCGCUAGUAAUCGUAGAUCAGAAUGCUACGGUGAAUACGUUCCCGGGCCUUGUACACACCGCCCGUCACACCAUGGGAGUGGGUUGCAAAAGAAGUAGGUAGCUUAACCUUCGGGAGGGCGCUUACCACUUUGUGAUUCAUGACUGGGGUG
rnacentral:rRNA from 1 species